rnacentral:rRNA from 1 species
UACAGAGGGGCAAGCGUUGUUCGGAAUUACUGGGCGUAAAGGGCGCGUAGGCGGCCUUCUAAGUCGAACGUGAAAUCCCCGGGCUCAACCCGGGAACUGCGUCCGAUACUGGAAGGCUUGAACCCGGGAGAGGGAUGCGGAAUUCCAGGUGUAGCGGUGAAAUGCGUAGAUAUCUGGAGGAACACCGGUGGCGAAGGCGGCAUCCUGGACCGGCAUUGACGCUGAGUGAGCGAAAGCCAGGGGAGCAAACGGG